ACCCAGCUGAUGAGUCCUAAAUAGGACGAAAUGUCUGUCCUGGAU
rfam:Schistosoma mansoni strain Puerto Rico chromosome 4, complete genome